rnacentral:rRNA from 1 species
GAUGAACGCUGGCGGCGUGCCUAAUACAUGCAAGUCGAGCGAACAGACCCGGCGCUUGUUCCUUUGACGUUAGCGGCGGACGGGUGAGUAACACGUGUAUAACCUACCUAUAAGACUGGUAUAACUUCGGGACACCGGAGCUAAUACCGGAUAAGAUAUUGAACCGCAUGGUUCAUUGGUGAAAGUCGGUUUUGCUGUCACUUCUAGAUGGUUCCGGGCCGCAUUAGCUAGUUGUGAGGUUAACGGCUUACUAAGGCUACCAUGCGUAUGCGAACUGAUAGGGUGGUCGCCGACCCGGGAGCUGAGCCACGGACCAGAGUCCUGCGGGAGGCAGCAGAAGGGAAUCUGCCGCAGUGGGCGAAAGUUUGACGGAGCAACGCCGCGUGAGUGGUGAAAGUCUUCGGAUCGUAAAACUGUGUUAUUAGGGGUGAACAACUUUGUAAGUAACUAUGCACGUAUUGACGGUACCGGAUCAGAAAGCAACGGCUAACUACGUG